rnacentral:lncRNA from 1 species
CUUAGUACGACCCUGUCAAUGGAAGCACACAAUGAGAACAUCGAUAUAAAAUGGGACCAGGCCAGAAUAAUUAAACCAUUAACUACCUCUUCGAAACCACUAUUAAUGGAGUCCUUGCAGAUACAGAGGGCCGCCGGUGGGGGGGACGUCCUCAGUGACAGGCUUGCCUUCCGGCUUCCCCAGGCUUGGGAGUGCUUAGUCAAACAGACUAGCGGCGGUCCCGGAGGUAGGGACGGGGGACACCGGCCCAAACGCUCGGGAGCGCCGGCUUAAUAAAUGGUGGAGGGAGCAUCAAAGGGAGGCAUAGCAAUGGUGUUGCCACUAAUCAAAGGAAAACGCGAAAGGAAGAAUAAUGAUGAUUGGCCUUUGCG